GAUGAACGCUGGCGGCGUGCCUAAUACAUGCAAGUCGAGCGAACAGAUGAGGAGCUUGCUCCUCUGACGUUAGCGGCGGACGGGUGAGUAACACGUGGAUAACCUACCUAUAAGACUGGGAUAACUUCGGGAAACCGGAGCUAAUACCGGAUAAUAUAUUGAACCGCAUGGUUCAAUAGUGAAAGACGGUUUUGCUGUCACUUAUAGAUGGAUCCGCGCCGCAUUAGCUAGUUGGUAAGGUAACGGCUUACCAAGGCAACGAUGCGUAGCCGACCUGAGAGGGUGAUCGGCCACACUGGAACUGAGACACGGUCCAGACUCCUACGGGAGGCAGCAGUAGGGAAUCUUCCGCAAUGGGCGAAAGCCUGACGGAGCAACGCCGCGUGAGUGAUGAAGGUCUUCGGAUCGUAAAACUCUGUUAUUAGGGAAGAACAAAUGUGUAAGUAACUAUGCACGUCUUGACGGUACCUAAUCAGAAAGUCACGGCUAACUAUGUG
rnacentral:rRNA from 1 species